UACGUAGGGAGCAAGCGUUGUCCGGAAUCAUUGGGCGUAAAGCGCGCGUAGGCGGCCCUGUAAGUCCGUUGUGAAAGUCAAAGGCUCAACCUUUGAAAGCCGAUGGAUACUGCAGGGCUGGAGUCCGGAAGAGGCGAGUGGAAUUCCUGGUGUAGCGGUGGAAUGCGCAGAUAUCAGGAAGAGCACCAACGGCGAAGGCAGCUCGCUGGGACGGAACUGACGCUAAGGCGCGAAAGCGUGGGGAGCGAACAGG
rnacentral:rRNA from 1 species